UACGGAGGGUGCAAGCGUUACUCGGAAUCACUGGGCGUAAAGGGCGCGUAGGCGGCUUGGUAAGUUGGAUGUGAAAGCCCACGGCUCAACCGUGGAACUGCGUCCAAAACUGCCAGGCUAGAGUCCGGGAGAGGCAGGUGGAAUUGGUGGUGUAGGGGUAAAAUCCGUAGAGAUCACCAGGAAUACCCAUUGCGAAGGCGACCUGCUGGAACGGUACUGACGCUGAGGCGCGAAAGCGUGGGGAGCAAACAGGAUUAGAUACCCUGGUAGUCCACGCCCUAAACGAUGGAUGCUAGUCGUUGGGAAGCUAGUCUUCCCAGUGAUGCAGCUAACGCAAUAAGCAUCCCGCCUGGGGAGUACGGCCGCAAGGCUAAAACUCAAAGGAAUAGACGGGGACCCGCACAAGCGGUGGAGCAUGUGGUUUAAUUCGAAGAUACGCGAAGAACCUUACCUGGGCUUGACAUCCCGAGAACCCUCCAGAGAUGGAGGGGUGCCCCCUUAUGGGGGAGCUCGGUGACAGGUGCUGCACGGCUGUCGUCAGCUCGUGUCGUGAGAUGUUGGGUUAAGUCCCGCAACGAGCGCAACCCUCGCCUCUAGUUGCCAGCACUUCGGGUGGGCACUCUAGAGGGACUGCCCGGGUAACCGGGAGGAAGGUGAGGAUGACGUCAAGUCAUCAUGGCCCUUAUGCCCAGGGCGACACACGUGCUACAAUGGCGCGUACAGAGAGAGGCGAUACCGCGAGGUGGAGCAAAUCUCUAAAGCGCGUCCCAGUUCGGAUUGCAGUCUGCAACUCGACUGCAUGAAGUCGGAAUCGCUAGUAAUCGCGGAUCAGCCAUGCCGCGGUGAAUACGUUCCCGGGUC
rnacentral:rRNA from 1 species